AUUGAACGCUCGCGGGAUGCUUUACACAUGCAAGUCGAACGGCAGCGCGGACUUCGGUCUGGCGGCGAGUGGCGAACGGGUGAGUAAUGUAUCGGAACGUGCCCAGUAGCGGGGGAUAACUACGCGAAAGCGUAGCUAAUACCGCAUACGCCCUACGGGGGAAAGCAGGGGAUCGUAAGACCUUGCACUAUUGGAGCGGCCGAUAUCGGAUUAGCUAGUUGGUGAGGUAACGGCUCACCAAGGCGACGAUCCGUAGCUGGUUUGAGAGGACGACCAGCCACACUGGGACUGAGACACGGCCCAGACUCCUACGGGAGGCAGCAGUGGGGAAUUUUGGACAAUGGGGGCAACCCUGAUCCAGCCAUCCCGCGUGUGCGAUGAAGGCCUUCGGGUUGUAAAGCACUUUUGGCAGGAAAGAAACGUCGCGGGCUAAUACCCCGUGGAACUGACGGUACCUACAGAAUAAGCACCGGCUAACUACGUG
rnacentral:rRNA from 1 species